rfam:Homo sapiens chromosome 17, GRCh38 reference primary assembly.
GCUGGGUGUGGUGGCGCGCACCUGUAAUCCCAGUUACUCAGGCGGCUGAGGCAGGAGAAUUGCUUGAACCCAGGAGGUAGAGGUUGCAGUGAGCCGAGAUUGUGCCACUGCACUCCCGCCUGGGCAACAGAGCAAGACUCUAUCUCAA